UUACAGAAGUCCAAUAUUACAUUGGCUGAUGUUAAAGUAACUAUUUCAUCAACGAUGGAAAUACUUAAACAGUUCAGCACAAGUUCAUGUAUAUUGAUGCAUGAUAUUGAAACCAGAAAAGAAAUAUCAGGAUAUCCUUUGAAAAGACAAGGUCCACCAACUGACAUGGAGAAGAAAGUCAGUGUCAUUAAGUCUUCUUUAAUCAAACAUAUGGAGGCAAGAUACAGGGACCUAGGAGAUGAUGUUAUAGAAUCAACUAUUAUUGCAAAUGUAAAAAGCUGGCCACGAGAAAAUGUUGCUGUUAUUUUCUUCCUGCAGAAAAAUUGAUUUUGGUGCUAAAGAAGUCCAGUGUAUUGCAGAGCAUUGGAAAAUCAAGGCACAGAUCUUACAGAUUUGUUGGGAGAAUGGCAGAUGUUAAAAUUUCUUUCUUACAAAAGAUUUGGUGAGAAGAUUGGCAGUACAUCUUUGGAAGAUAUCCAUUCAAAUUUUUCAGAUAAUGAAAUACCAAACAUUUUGAAUGUGUUGGACCUAAUUCAAAGUCUUCCUGCAACAAGUGUUGUAAAUGAAACGGCUUUUAAUCAAAUGAAGCUACUAAAAACAUCAAGACGUCACAGACUGAGUGAGAAACAUCUCAAUGAUUGCAUGAUGAUUAGGCUGCAAUCACCUUCAGUAAUGGAGUUUAAUCCAAAAGAAGCCGUUGAUAAGUGGAUGAUAAUUAUAUACUGUAAAUGAAUAAAACCAAUUAUCAAAUAAAGUAAUGUACAUGUUACAUCUUGAUCAUGAAAAAUUAAAUGAUAUUUUUUGUUAAAUCAAUAGUUAACACCUAAAGGGAAGAGAAGGAAGAUGAAUUACCAGAGAAGGAAGAAAAUUUUGGUUUCAAACCAGACUGUGCAAGUUAAUGAUGAAGAGAUUGUGGAAGAGACUGUUGAAGAGGCUGAUGUGGUUGAAGAGGAGGUAACUCAGGAAACAGAGAAUGGCAUUGCAAAUCAGGGAGAUGUAGCUGAAUCUGAUUAUGACUCAGAGACAGAAGAUGAAAUGGAGGAUGAACGUGAUAGUGAAAAUGAACAGUCAGAUAGCGAAAAUGAAAAUCUUAUAAGAAGUUUUAUUUACGAAUAUGAAAUAGAAAAUUGUUAAUAAAAUACAUUUUCUGUACUUAUUUAUUCCUAUUUUUCUCUUCCAAAAAUGGUAAAUGUAUCUGGUCUGACAAAAGUUUGUCCGGUCUCACAGAACCUUUAACUGUGUCAGACCAAAUGUCUGGUAGUAGUUGAAAAAUUUCGACA